GCCAUCAGCCAUAUCGUCCUGCAACUCACAACUGACAACCCACUGAAGCUAAGCAGGUGUGAGCCUGGUCAGUACCUGGAUAGGAGACCUCCUGGGAAAAACUUAGGUUGCUGCUGGAA
ensembl:rRNA 5S_rRNA 5S ribosomal RNA